rnacentral:rRNA from 1 species
AUUGCCCUAGUAACGGCGAGUGAAGCGGCAACAGCUCAAAUUUGAAAUCUGGCUUCGGCCCGAGUUGUAAUUUGUAGAGGAAGCUUUUGGUGAGGCACCUUCUGAGUCCCCUGGAACGGGGCGCCAUAGAGGGUGAGAGCCCCGUAUAGUCGGAUGCCGAUCCAAUGUAAAGCUCCUUCGACGAGUCGAGUAGUUUGGGAAUGCUGCUCAAAAUGGGAGGUAAAUUUCUUCUAAAGCUAAAUACCGGCCAGAGACCGAUAGCGCACAAGUAGAGUGAUCGAAAGAUGAAAAGCACUUUGAAAAGAGGGUUAAAUAGCACGUGAAAUUGUUGAAAGGGAAGCGUUUGUGACCAGACUUGCGCCGUUCCGAUCAUCCGGUGUUCUCACCGGUGCACUCGGGACGGCACAGGCCAGCAUCGGUUUUGGCGGGGGGACAAAGGCCCUGGGAACGUAGCUCCUCCGGGAGUGUUAUAGCCCAGGGCGUAAUGCCCUCGCCGGGACCGAGGUUCGCGCAUCUGCAAGGAUGCUGGCGUAAUGGUCACCAACGACCCGUCUUGAAACACGGACCAAGGAGUCAAGGUUUUGCGCGAGUGUUUGGGUGUAAAACCCGCACGCGUAAUGAAAGUGAACGUAGGUGAGAGCUUCGGCGCAUCAUCGACCGAUCCUGAUGUAUUCGGAUGGAUUUGAGUAAGAGCGUUAAGCCUUGGACCCGAAAGAUGGUGAACUAUGCUUGGAUAGGGUGAAGCCAGAGGAAACUCUGGUGGAGGCUCGCAGCGGUUCUGACGUGCAAAUCGAUCGUCAAAUCUGAGCAUGGGGGCGAAAG